ACUGCUCAGUAACACGUAGUCAACAUGCCCAGGGGACGUGGAUAACCUCGGGAAACUGAGGAUAAACCGCGAUAAGUCACUACUUCUGGAAUGGGUAAUGACUAAAAUCUACAUGGCCCCUGGAUUGGACUGCGGCCGAUCAGGCUGUUGGUGAGGUAAUGGCCCACCAAACCUGUAACCGGUACGGNGCUCUGAGAGGAGGAGCCCGGAGAUGGGCACUGAGACAAGGGCCCAGGCCCUAUGGGGCGCAGCAGGCGCGAAACCUCUGCAAUAGGCGAAAGCCUGACGGGGUUACUCUGAGUGAUUUCCGUUAAGGAGAUCUUUUGGCACCUCUAAAAAUGGUGCAGAAUAAGGGGUGGGCAAGUCUGGUGUCAGCCGCCGCGGUAAUACCAGCACCCCGAGUGGUCGGGACGUUUAUUGGGCCUAAAGCAUCCGUAGCCGGUUCUACAAGUCUUCCGUUAAAUCCACCUGCUUAACAGAUGGGCUGCGGAAGAUACUAUAGAGCUAGGAGGCGGGAGAGGCAAGCGGUACUCGAUGGGUAGGGGUAAAAUCCGUUGAUCCAUUGAAGACCACCAGUGGCGAAGGCGGCUUGCCAGAACGCGCUCGACGGUGAGGGAUGAAAGCUGGGGGAGCAAACCGGAUUAGAUACCCGGGUAGUCCCAGCUGUAAACGAUGCAGACUCGGUGAUGAGUUGGCUUCUUGCCAACUCAGUGCCGCAGGGAAGCCGUUAAGUUUGCCGCCUGGGGAGUACGGUCGCAAGACUGAAACUUAAAGGAAUUGGCGGGGGAGCAC
rnacentral:rRNA from 1 species